AGGGCGGCGAAGCCGCGAGGUGGAGCGAAUCCCAAAAAGACCGGUCUAAGUUCGGAUUGCAGGCUGCAACCCGCCUGCAUGAAGUCGGAAUCGCUAGUAAUCGCGAGUCAGCAUAUCGCGGUGAAUACGUUCCCGGGUCUUGUACACACCGCCCGUCACACCAUGGGAGUUGGCAACACCCGAAGUCCGUAGCCUAACUUUAACGAGGGGGCGCGGCCGAAGGUGGGUUCGAUAAUUGGGGUGAAGUCGUAACAAGGUAGC
rnacentral:rRNA from 1 species